AAAACAAAAUUAUGAACUUUGUGCUUAUCGAUAGAUAUAUAGACAAUACUGUGGUGAUGCUGUUAAUUAAAUGCAGGUGGUUUUGUUUGAAAAUAAAACUGCUUCCUUGCACAGUAUAUAUUGGGAAGUCCUAAUAUAACCUCUAAAACGUGAAAAUGAUAGUCUAUGUAAAAUGGCUAAGUUGUGAAUUCAGCUCUUGAUGGUUAUAUGUCACUGAAGACUUUACUAGGAAAAUUAGUCAAAGGCCUCUCCAGGGACUUUGCAUUUUGCAACAGAUAAGAAAGCGGCAUUCAAAUGAGAAACUAAGCACAAUUCUUUUCAACAGGCAAUUUACCCCAUGACGAGAUAUGCUUUCACUUAUUUUUCUCUGACAUUCUCGCAUCUAGCAGCACAGCAGGGAUAACGUGUUGAAAUGAAACCUAAUAUUUGGAAAUGCAAAAUAAAAGCUGUAACGAGCUGUAUUUGAGCCCAUUAUGAAUGAAGUAAUCUAAAAAUGAAUUAUGAUGCCUCUGCCUUUACGAAAGUGAACACACCUG